rnacentral:rRNA from 1 species
UGCCAGCAGCCGCGGUAAGACAGAGGGUGCGAACGUUGUUCGGAAUUACUGGGCGUAAAGCGCGUGUAGGCGGCUAUGCAAGUCGGGUGUGAAAGCCCUGGGCUUAACCGAGGAAGUGCACUCGAAACUGCAUAGCUCGAGUCCCGGAGAGGAUGGUGGAAUUCUCGGUGUAGAGGUGAAAUUCGUAGAUAUCGAGAGGAACACCGGUGGCGAAGGCGGCCAUCUGGACGGGUACUGACGCUGAGACGCGAAAGCGUGGGUAGCAAACAGGAUUAGAUA